UACAGAGGGUGCAAGCGUUAAUCGGAAUUACUGGGCGUAAAGCGCACGUAGGCGGCUUGUUAAGUUGGAUGUGAAAGCCCCGGGCUCAACCUGGGAACUGCAUUUAAAACUGGCAAGCUAGAGUACGGUAGAGGGCGGUGGAAUUUCCUGUGUAGCGGUGAAAUGCGUAGAUAUAGGAAGGAACACCAGUGGCGAAGGCGACCACCUGGACUGAUACUGACACUGAAGUGCGAAAGCGUGGGGAGCAAACAGA
rnacentral:misc_RNA from 1 species